rnacentral:rRNA from 1 species
UUUGUGGUAUCUUGGACCAAAAAGAUAUUUACGGAUAACGAAGGAUUAGGGUUUGAUUUCGGAGAGGUGGCCUGAUACACUGCCACCACUUCUAAGGAAGGCAGCAGGCGCGAAAAUUACUCAAUGACACAUCGUCGAAGUAGUGACGAAAAUUACCAGAAUUGGGUCCUUAUAGGAACAGUGUCUGGGAUGAGAACAAUUUAAAACCAUUAACAAGAAACAAUUAGAGGGCAAGUCUGGUGCCAGCAGCCGCGGUAAUUCCAGCUCUAAGAGUGUAUCUGAAAGUUGCUGCAGUUAAAAAGCCCGUAGCUGAUAUAAUUAAGAUUAUAUGUAUAGGUAAUAAGCAAUUAUUGUCUAUGUUCUAUAGUUCUAACAAAAAUUGAAUUUCUGCAAACGGCGGGGGAAACCUUGAACGAGCCUCUUUUACCUACGAAGUGAGAGAGUGAUUCAACGAGAUUAACUGUGAAUAAAUUAGAGUGUUCAAAACAAGCUUUAUAGCUUUGAAUAGAUUAGCAUGGUAUUACGAAAUAUGACACAUCAUCCGCUAGUUUUGUAGUGCUUGCACGGAUGGAUUGAUAUGUAAUGAGAAAAGAGAAUUGUUGGGGUUACCUUUAUUCACUGGGAAGAGGUGAAAUUCUAUGAUCCAGUGAAGAAACACUAAUGCAAAAGCACUUAACCAAGAUGUUUUUGUCAGUCAAGGACGAUAGUUCAGGGCGCGAAGAUGAUUAGAUACCAUCGUAGUCUGAACUGUAAACAAUGUUGAUUUAGGAUCGGAAAUCAUUUAUUAUGACUUUUCCGGCACUAUACGAGAAAUCUAGAAUAUUCGAACUCUGGGGGUAGUAUAGUCGCAAGACCGAAACUUAAAAGAAUUGACGGAAGAGCACCACCAGGCGUGGAACCUGCGGCUUAAUUUGACUCAACGCGGGAAAACUCACCAGGACAGGACAUAAAAAGGAUUGACAGAUUGAUAGCUCUUUCAUGAUAGUAUGAAAGGUGGUGCAUGGCCGUUUUUAGUUGGUGGUUUGAAUUGUCUGGUUAAUUCCGAUAACGAACAAGACCUUUUCCUGCUAUUUAGCUUUGGAGGGUCUAUAAUCAUGGUGAAAUUUAUUUCAUCAUACAAUUAGCAUUUGAAGUAAGCUUCUUAGAGGUACUCUUUUUGUUUGUGAAACAAUUAAAAGGAAGAAAGACAAUAACAGGUCUGUGAUGCCCUUAGAUGUUCUGGGCUGCACGCGCGUUACAAUGAAAUAUUCACAUAGUUAGCCAAAUUAGAAAUGAUUAAGGAAAUCUCAAAAACUAUUUCGUGAUGGGGAUAGUGUUUUGCAAUUAUCGCACUUGAACGAGGAAUGCCUUGUAAGGAUGUGUCAUCAACGCAUCCUGAAUACGUCCCUGCUCUUUGUACACACCGCCCGUCGCUCCUACUGAUUGAAUUUUGUGAUAAGGACCUUGGACAGUGGACGUUUGU